AAGGGAGAGCUCUGAUGUCAACAUUAAUUAAGGGAGUUAAGAGCGUGUGAUUUGAAAUCUGCAUGAUUGGAGGAAGUACAGACUGUGGGAGAAGGAGAUGGGAGGUGGUAUAACUGAGUGUGGGAUUCAUGAGUUCCUCAGCGGUGAGCCGUGCCCUCCCAGAGGAGGCCACAGCGAGUCUCACUUGUCAGAAGGCAGCUGAGAAGGCUGUGUCUGAAGCAGAACUCCAGGUUCUGAGAAUCUAGGGGAGGAGCUAGGGACCAGUGGAUAUGAGUGGAUCUGUCUUCCCACCUGGCAGGAGGUCCUCAUUCAGCCAGAGAAGUUCUGCAUCAGGCUGGGUUUGGAAGCUUCUGGUGGGAAGCAGGGAGGAGGAAGUGGAAAGAGCCUUACAGCUCACAAGCUAAAGGAGAUAUCUCAGGCUUGUUCUGCCACAGGGGAGGGGCUGAUAUUUGCUAAGGUGGGGUAUUACCUCUUUGUCCCCAAAACCACUAUACCUGUCUUCCCCAGAUCAAGCACAUCUUUUUAUAAGGGUCCCGGGAGCAUUGAAAAGCAGCACAUCAUCAGGGAACCAUGACAGGUGAUACUGUUUAGCUCAUGCCUCACCUUUUGCCACUCAGUGGUGGGUAGAGGAAGAAGGGAUGCGACAAGACCUUAGCACUCAGGGUUUUGCAAAGGGUCCCAUGAAAAAAUCUCUUCACUGCUCUCAUUCCUGACAUCUCUCCAGUCCCUUGUC
rnacentral:lncRNA from 1 species